UACGUAGGGGGCAAGCGUUGUCCGGAAUCAUUGGGCGUAAAGAGCGCGUAGGCGGCCCUGUAAGUCCGCUGUGAAAGUCAAGGGCUCAACCCUUGAAUGCCGGUGGAUACUGCAGGGCUAGAGUCCGGAAGAGGUGAGUGGAAUUCCUGGUGUAGCGGUGAAAUGCGCAGAUAUCAGGAGGAACACCGGUGGCGAAGGCGGAUCUCUGGGCCUGUUCUGACGCUGAGGCGCGAAAGCUAGGGGAGCGAACAGG
rnacentral:rRNA from 1 species